GGAGCAUGUCCAGUGCGGUCUUCUCCAAUCCACUGGGUGUAGCUAUUGUCUCUUAUUUAUGGAAGCUGACCAGUUUAAACUGGUGGUUUCUGACUUCCUGACCCUGUAGAUGCUUCUCACACACUUUCCCGCAGCUCAAAUGUGAAACUGUUGAUGAUUCAACAGUGUGUGACUCAUUUAUGCUUUUGCCUUCCGCAGCCCUCGGUGCAGGAAGCUACAAUGGACACGUCCAGGGCACAUAUGGUGAGAGCAGCAUCAGAGACACUGUGACAAACAAACGCACAAAGCGCACAAUUCAGCAGGGUUCGACGUCGACAAAUGGGAAACAAAAUUAACUUUAUUUGUCAAUAUGUCACGGCCGAAUGUGUUACUUCUGGGCAGCUGGUGCAGAAGCUGUGAAAAUAAGAUGCAUGAGUAUAUUUCUCACAGUGAUUGCCACCAACGUGUCCCCCCCCCCCCCCCCCCGUUAUCUUUCAGGAGCUCUUGGUGCAGGACUGGAAUCAACUGGUGGGAAAUAUGGUGAGUGGCGCUGACAUGACCUCAUCCCUCUGCUGUCACAUUAUUAGUCAGGCUUCCAUCUGAGUGGCUUUCCAUGCAUGAGUCAGCCUCGACGCAGGGGACAGAGCAGAGCAGCUUCGUACCAGAUGAGAAGGGGGAAGAUGGAGAUGUGAGUCAGUUUCACAGAUUUUGUUUUUCCUCAGGAGGAGGAGCCGCUCAGGUUCCUUACGGAAAUGCUCCGAUGAUUCCAGCCGGAAUGGAAGGCGAGGGGGGCUACCCUUACACCGCUCAGCAGCUCGGCCUCGGCGCUGAGGGCGCCAAAACCUCCAACAAAUAUGGGCCUGUUGCUGGAUACGGAACGCAGCAAACAGGUUAUGGCGCACAGCUGGGAGCGGCUCAAGACGCUUUGGGAGAUCAGGCUGGAAAAUUCGGCGGAGCGAACGGCGCCCUUGGACACGGGUACAAAGGCUAAAUCGCACAACCUGAGCUUCAAGUGGAUCGUUUUCACUGUAAUGUGUCAUUUUUGUGUGUGUUUCACUCCACUUUGUCCUGCUGUGUUAUCUAUUUGUCUUACGUUUGAUUUUUCUCGGCCCCCCUCCUCUUUGUCUUCUUUGUAAGUGUCCGGCGGUCUCGGUAGUCCAAACCAAGCCCCUCCCCGUCUCUUUCUCUCAAAGCUCAAAAAUUGAUGCUGAACAUAAACAUGAUGAUAAGUGCAAGAAAAGACUGUGCCUUUGUUUUUAUAAUGAAUGUUAAAAUGAACUAUUUACUGUUCUAAUCCAAUAAAUUAUAUAAAGUUGAUGCUGAACUGAAUUUUGUGCGUCAGAGCGUUGUUGUGUACC
rnacentral:lncRNA from 1 species